AUAUAACUAAGCGGAGGAAAAGAAACUAACCAGGAUUCCCUCAGUAACUGCGAGUGAAGCGGGAAAAGCUCAGACUGAAAACCUCGGGAUUGUAGUCUGGAGAAGCAUAGUCAGCCUAGAGCUGCGGGUCAAGUCUUCUGGAAAGGAGCGCCAUGGAGGGUUAUAGCCCCGUUCGUACCUGCGGAUCGAAGCGUACGACUUGCUUUCUACGAGUCGAGUUGUUUGGGAUUGCAGCUCUAAGUGGGUGGUAAAUUCCAUCUAAAGCUAAAUAUUGGUGGGAGACCGAUAGCGCACAAGUA
rnacentral:rRNA from 1 species